UUCCCGUCUGACCUAACCCCCCUUUUUGAUAUUUUUCUUCGAAAGACACGUGUUUUUUAUGACUAUUACCGAUUUCAGAUUUUUUUUAUAUGCACUCCUGAUUUUCAUACAAAUUUUCAAAAACUGGGAAAUUCACCACUUUUUUAAAUAAAAAUCACCAUGCGAAGUAAUUUUUGGCGGGUUUUGGCAACUCUGAAAUGGUGAUCUUUUUUUUUCACCUCGGAAAAUGAGCAACGUCUGGGAGCACUUUUUUUUGUUGACAUUUAUAAAUGUCAAACUGCACGGCUCGAUUUCAUCAGGACCAGAAGCAACAGCAGCGGCGGAUCGAACUGUAUUUGGACCGGAAUUCGUUAGCAUCACGAAAUUUCGAAGUUUAGUGUCCACCGCGGAGUGUUAACAAAAAAUAAAAAAAGGAAACAUUUUCUCCGGUUGUGAAACUACUAAAUUUUACAUCAAAUCGAGCAAGGUAACCGUUGAUGGUUUGCUGGUGUGCAGCUUCCCGGACCCGGAGCAGUAAAGUCUCUCCGAUGCCAUUAACUAGAGCUGCCUCCACUGAUUGAGAAGGAUGCUGAACUUCAUAGUUUUCUGUCAAUCAAACCAUUGCGGUGCUGGGGGAACACGGGAAGAUGCCGUCAAGGAUGCCGUAUGGUCUCGUCGUCGGAACGGUGGGAUAUGUACAAAGAGGAACCGACACUUGGGAGGAACUGCACUUCCAUAAGAUGACCAACAAAAGGAAAAAUUGCGGUAGGGCAUGCAAAAUUACGCGACUUCCGUGUUCAACUAGGAGCAGAUGGCGGAGAAGGAAAAUUCUGCUCAAAUGAAAAAAAAAAACAAGCGGCACACCGGGUUACCUUGGUGCCCUGUAGCAAGGCAGCAUCAGGGAAGGAUUCCAUAACCUGCACAGCAUGUGCGGCAAUCGGCAGCGAUCCAAUUGCAAGUGCAAGUUUAACUCAGGAAACAACUGGCCCAUCAACUAUACUGGUAUGCUUAAGUUUGCUUCUUUUUGACGUUACUUGCAAACGGGCACAGACUAUUUCUUAACUUGCAGAGUGAAUAAUACCUUCAACAUACUUGAACAUUUGGCCAGAAAAGCCAACUGAUUCCUCCUGCAAUUCUUAACAGAAAUUUCAGCAGUUAUUCCUACCGGGGAUCCCACCAGGCACCCUCACCAGGGUUUCUUUCUGACAUUCCCAUCAGGGAUUCUUCCUGCUAUUUCCAGCGUGGAUUCCUCCAGCAAUUUUUAGCGGGUACUAAUUCCUCCUGGUAUUUCCACCAGGCGUUUCUCCAGCCUUUCUUAGCGGGGAUUUUUCCUAGCUUUUCCACCAGAGAUGCCUCCAGCCAUUCCCAUCUGGGAUUCCUUCUGGCAUUCCUACUAAAGGUUUCUCCAGCGGCUGGAGUCCAGAGAUUCCUCCUGCCAUUCCCAACAGAAAUUUCUGCAGUAGUUCCCACCGGGGGGUAUCCCACCAGACAAUCUGGGGAUAUCCCACCAGGGAUUCUUUCUGCUAUUUACAACGGGGAUUGGUUCUAGCAUUCUUAACAGGGAUUCCUCUACGCAUCCCAUCCAGGGGUUCCUUCGGUCAUAGGAGACUCCUGCAAGAAUUCUCAGCGGGGAUUUCUCCUGGCAUUCUUAGCGAGGAUUCCUCAAGCCUUUCCAGCAAGGACUACCCAGACAUUCCAUGCGGGUAUUCAUUCUGGCAUUCCCACUAGGGAUUCCUCCAGCCAUUCUCAACGAGGAUUCCUCGUGCCAUUUUCAGCGGUGAUUCUUCUGGCAUCCCCAGUAGGGAUUCCUUUGGUAUUUUCACCAGGGUUUCCUCCAAGCAUUCCUACCAGGGAUUCCUUCAGUCAUUCUUAGCGGUGGUUCCUCCAGCCAUUCCCAACGGAAAUUCCUCCAGCCAUUCCCACCAGAGAUUCCUCAAGCCGUUCCCAACAGAGAUUUUCCAAGUCAUUCCCACCGGAGAUCCAACCAGGCAUUCCCACCAGGGAUUCCUUUUGCCAUUUCCAGAGGGGAUUUGUUCGGACAUUCCCAAGAGGGAUUUUUCCAGGCAUACUCACUAUAGACACUAUAGAUUCCAUAGACUCGCGAAGGCGAAGACAACUGUAGCCAAACGAACUGUCAGUUCGUGUAGCCAAACGAGCAUGACGUCACGAUUUCAAUAGCGACAAUGGAUUGCGUGACGUCAUAUUCGCUUGGUACACUCUAAAUUCACGGUAAAACACACUAAAAUCGUAUUGCUCAACCAUGUCUCCGCGAGUCUAUGGAAUCUAUAGUGUCUAUAAUACCCACCAGGGGUAUCUUCGACCAUUGGAGAUUCCUUCAAGAAUCCCCACCAGGUUUCCUCCUGCCUUUACCAGCGGGGAUACCUUCAGUUAUUCCUACAGGCGAUUCCUCUAGCCAUUUCCAGCAGGCAUCCCCAGCAAGGAUUUCCUCUGGCAUUCCUAGUAGGGAUUCCUCCAGGCAUUCUCACCAGGGAUUCCUUCUGGUACCUGUUCUGGCAUUCCCAACAGGGAUUUCUUCUGGCAUUGCCAAAGAAAAUUUCUCCUGCCAUUCCUACCAGGAAUUCUUCCUGUUAUUUACAGCGGGGAUCCACUCUUGCAUUUCCAACAGGGAUUCCUCCAGGCAUUCCAGCCAGGGGUUCCUUCGGUUAUUGGAGUUUCCUGCAAGAAUUCUCACUGGGGAUUCCUCCUAGUAUUCUUAGCGAGGAUUCCUCCAGCCAUUCCAGCAAGGACUACCCCAGAUAUUGCAUGCGGGUAUUCCUUCCUCCCAUUCUCAACGGAGAUUCCUCCAGCCAUUCCCAAUCAUGAUUUCUCUAAUCAUUCUCAGCAAGGAUUACUCCAGGCAUUCCCACUAGGGAUUCCUCCAAUCCUUCCCACCUAAGAUUCCUCCAGUCAUUCCUAUCGGGGAUCCCUCCAAUCAUGCCCGGCGUGGAGUCCUUCUGGAAUUUCCACUAGGGGUGCUUUCUCUAGUCAUUCCCACCCGUGAUCUCACCAGGCACUCCCACCAGGGAUUCUGGCAUUCUCAUAAGAGAUUCCUCCAGGCAUUCCCACCAGGAAUUCCAUCAGCCAUUCCUACCGGGGAUUCCUCCCACCCUUCAAAAUACUUGAAUAAUUGCUCUUCGAUCAUAUGUCCACUAUAGUUGGAUUGUUGGAAAAUCGUAUAUGUAUAAACAUUGACCUGUUUUUAUUAUUAUUGUUUUACAGUUGCUGCUGUAUAUACUUUCAUCAUGGACUUCUCCAUUUGGUCACCUGGAUGGUCUCAAACGGGUUUUGAUGU